CUUCUAUGAUGACAGCUCACUAGGCAGGCAGCGUGGAUCUAUGUUCCAGUCUCCUCUUGCAGAUCAGAUACCACCUCUGAGAUCCUUCUCUGCUCCUCACUGACCAAACUCAAGGAACAGAUCUUCCCUGCCCAGGUCUCCAGGACCCCAACCUACCCACUUCUAGGAGAGAAUUCACACAGGGUGGUCCUGAAAGGAGGAGGUGCUUUGCUUCUCUUUUUCGCAGAUGUCAAUUAUGGAUCAACUUCUGAGUCACAUAGAAGAGCACCAUCAAUUGGCCAUUUCUCACCUGAUCACUGAGGAUAUAAAGUGCUUUUCCAGACUCCAGGACUCGGUUCAUUGCUAGUAUCAGGACGCCUCUCAUGUAUGGGAAGCCAGAAACAUCCCAGGAGCCUCACUGACUGCUUGGGCACAGCCCUCUGAGCAGACCUAUGAAGAAACAGAAGGAUUUGUGCCUUUUAGGUAUCUCUGGUCAAAACAGGUAUUUGAAGUUCUGAUUCUGCUAUUAUCUGGCACCUCCACUUGGCCCAUUGCUGGAAAUAUUAGGACUAGAAAACAUCAAGAUCAGGCACCGAACAGGCAAAUCUCCACUGAGUGGUUCUGAUGUGCAAAUAGCUGAUGAAGACUGGUUAUGGUUAUAAAAUGGAACACAGUUUUCUAAUUACAUAGUGUGUGGGUCUCGUGUGUGUGUGUGUGUGCAUGCAUGUGUGUGCAUGUGUGUGUUCGUGUGUGUGUGUGUGCAUGUAUAUCUAAGGUGCUUCACAUUUAGCUCUCAGCUCUCAGAAUGAGUCCACAUUCUGAGGUAAAUCUAUGGUGUUUGAUACCAACCAAUUUGAGAGAAACAUCUGGUGUCAUUUGCUUUUCUAGAUUCAUUUUUAUAUCUCCAAGACAGAGACACAACAAAGCUUUACUUAGGGCCAACUUAUUCUAAAGUUUUAUUGGUAUCUAGAAGUAGACACCCAUGUCUCUUCCACUUCCUUAUUUGAAUAAAAUUAAGUGGGUCUAGUCCUUACCUUAAUUCUCUCUUAAAAAUGCUCAAGAAAACCAAUUUCAAUAGCUGGGCCUAAAACAAUAUUACAAAACUUGGGUGCUAGGAUUAUAACAAGGAUUUUUCCAACCAGCAAGAAACAAAGCAAGACUUUCAAACAGUUUUAUUAUUUUUUAUCUUUUUAAAAAUUGUAUUGGGGUAAAAUACACGUAGCAUAAAAUUUACCAUCUUAACCAUUUUUAGGCCUACAGUUCAGUGGUACUAAGUACAUUCCUAUUGUUAUACGGCCACUACCACUAUCCAUCUCCAGAAUCUUUUCAUCUUCCCAAACUGAAAUUCUGCCUCCAUUAAACAAUAACUCCCCAGUCCCAUCUUUCCCCAGGCCCUGGAAACCACCAUUCUAUUUUCUGUCUUUAUAAAUUUCACUACUCUAGACAUUUCAUAUAAAGAGAAUCAUAUAAUAUGUGUUCUUUUGUGGCUGGCUUAUUUCGCAGAGCAUAAUGUCUUCAAGCUUCAUCCAUGUUGUAGCAUAUGUCAGAAUUACCUUUGUUUUGAGGGUGAAUAAUAUUUCAUCAUAUGUAGAUGCCACAUAUUGUUUACUCACUCAUCCCUCAAUGGACGCUUGGGUUGCAUCCACGUUUUGGCUACUGUGAAAAAUGCUGCUAUGAAUAUGGGUGUACAAACAUCUCUUUGAGACCCUGCUUUCAACUCUUUUGGGUAUAUACCCAAAAGGUUAAUUGGUGGAUCAUACAGUAUUUCUACCUUUAAUUUUUUGAGGACUCACCAUAGUGUUUUCCAUAGCAGUUACAUCAUUUUACAAUCCUACCAAUAAACGGUACACAAGGGUUCCAAUUUUUUCACAUCCUUGCCAACACUUGUUAUUUUAUGUUUUUAGGCUAGCCAUCCUAAUGGGCAUGAGGCCUUCCAAACAGUUUUAUGAUCGACUAAGUUAACCAAGUAAACCAGAUCAAUGACGGGCCAUAACAUCAAUGACCAAAAGAAAGGGGGAUGGAAGACACUCAGAAAGUUCCACCCCAGCCCUUACAACAUUGUUUGAAUGGAGAGUAGAAGGGGACAAGCUCCCAUUUCACAAGGUAAAGUUUAUAGAUUACCUAGAUGUCUUUCAUUGCCACUUGUUCUAGGUCACACACACAAAACCUAACUCAGCAGUCUCAAGUAUAUCAGGAGGAAAAUGAUGCAAGUCUCAGUGAGAGAGAGAGAAAUAGUGAGAGAAAGAGUGAAAAGGAGGAGGAGGAAAAGGAGAAAAGGAAGGAAGAGAGGGAAUAGGAAAGGAGAGGCAAGGAAAGCUUUCACGUAGCAAAUGAAACAGAAUGAAAAGACAAAC
rnacentral:lncRNA from 1 species